rnacentral:rRNA from 1 species
UACGAAGGGGGCUAGCGUUGCUCGGAAUUACUGGGCGUAAAGCGUGCGUAGGCGGUUUGUUAAGUCUGCUGUGAAAGUCCUGGCUCAACCUGGGAACUGCAGUGGAUACUGGCGAGCUAGAGUGUGUCAGAGGAUGGUGGAAUUCCCGGUGUAGCGGUGAAAUGCGUAGAGAUCGGGAGGAACACCAGUGGCGAAGGCGGCCAUCUGGGACAACACUGACGCUGAGGCACGAAAGCGUGGGGAGCAAACAGGAUUAGAUACUGUAGUCC